rnacentral:rRNA from 1 species
UUUAUUGGAGAGUUUGAUCCUGGCUCAGGAUGAACGCUGGCGGCGUGCCUAAUACAUGCAAGUCGAGCGAAUGGAUUAAGAGCU